rnacentral:rRNA from 1 species
GACGAACGCUGGCGGCGGGCCUAACACAUGCAAGUCGAACGGAAAGGCCCUGCUUGCGUGGGGUGCCCGGUGGCCGAAGGGGUGAGUAACACGUGAGUAACCUGCCCUUGACUUUGGGAUAACUUCAGGAAACGGGAGUUAAUACAAGAUAGGAGCUCCUGCUCCAUGGAGGGGGUGGGAAAGUUUCGGCGGUCGGGGAUGGAUUCGCGGCUGUUCAGCUUGUUGGUGGGGUAGUGGCUUACCAAGGCUUUGACGGGUAGCCGGCCUGAGAGGGUGACCGGCCACAUUGGUACUGAGGUACGGCGCAGACUGCUACGGGAGGCAGCAGUGGGGAAUAUUGCACAAUGGGCGGAAGCCUGAUGCAGCAACGCCGCGUGCGGGAUGACGGCCUUCGGGUUGUAAACCGCUUUCGCCUGUGACGAAGCGUGAGUGACGGUAAUGGGUAAAGAAGCACCGGCUAACUACGUG